CGAUGGGAAACAGGUUAAUAUUCCUGUACUUGGUGUUACUGCGAAGGGGGGACGGAGAAGGCUAUGUCGGCCGGGCGACGGUUGUCCCGGUUUAAGCGUGUAGGCUGACUUUCCAGGCAAAUCCGGAGAGUUAAGGCUGAGGCGUGAUGACGAGGCACCACGGUGCUGAAGUGACAAAUGCCCUGCUUCCAGGAAAAGCCUCUAAGCAUCAGGUAACAUCAAAUCGUACCCCAAACCGACACAGGUGGUCAGGUA
rnacentral:rRNA from 1 species